UGGAGGACAGAGAAGGUGGAGCAGUCCUACCAUGCUGCCUUCCAUUGGUUAAGACCUCCAACAGUAAAGGGCUGACCAGGCAAAGAAUGUCCUCUCCACCACCUCGGAGGGGCAGGACUGAGCUGGCCCACACCCA